AUGCGUCGUUCCACGGGUGGGGACAAAAGAGAGAGCAGUUCUUUUUUCCCAACGCAACCUCCUCUCCUUCUUUCCCAUCCCGACCGGCGGCUAGGGUUCCCCGGCGCCGCCACAGCUACAGCCACCGGCGCCAUCCCUGCUCGUCCAGCGCUGGCCACUGGAGAAGGUGGACGCCGUCUCCGUCUCCGUCGCCGUCUCCGUCGCCGCCUCCGACAUCGACCUCAACCUCGACCGUGUCUGCGGCAGCGGCAAGGACCUCCGCCCGUAGGUCUCCUUCUCGUCAAGCGAGCGCUCGGGACGAGCAGGAUCUCAAUCUCGAGUGGGGGACAGACGCGGCCACGGGCAGCCGCCGGGGACGCCUCUGCAUCGUCGGAGGCGGAAUUAGGGGAGCAGCAGGCGGCGAUUCUGGUGGUGGAAACAUUGGGUGUCCUCGGCCAGUGCUGGUUGUCCUCGCUGGCAACCUCGCCGGCUCCAACCCGUCCGUAGACACUAAAAGGGUGCAGGUCGAGAUGAUGGUGCUGAGCACGGAUGGGAAUGGCGAGAUGCGGAUGUGCGUGCUGCAGCCCAGCAAUUUUUCAGGCCAGGCAAUUCAAGCUUGGUGAGGUUCGUUGCUGGAUACGCAAUGUCUCAAUUGGGCAAGGAUUUGGCAAUGAAAUCUGAUGAUAGUGUUGUAUCUCAUGCUGCACAUUUGAUGGUUGGCAUGCUAACUGGGAGUCUAGCUCACGUAACAUCCAAUGAGCGAUCAGAAUGAAGGUGAGGGGGUUGCAGAGGAGGAAAUAAGAGGAGUAGAAAAUUAAGGAGACGAAUCCAAGGAUCUGUACCGGAGGGGAGGACAUGAGGCCCAUAUAUGAUGGCUCGUACUGGUAAAGCAAGUUGACAGGCAGCAACAUGAGCACCAAAGGACAUCAUCACCAUCCGAGUGCCCUAGCUGCUAUCGCUUGCUGUGAGUAUUUUUGCCCCAAGUGAGAUUACGAUAUCAUGCAUCCUCUUUCCUAUUUAUUGCUAAUAUCAGCACAAUGCUUUGGUCCUCUUCACGUUUUAUUUGUUCUGCUUAUAUACCUUGCAAUCAUUAUGAUGGUAAGUAGCCAAUGGUAUAAUGUUGCUUCUCUUACUAUGCCAUCAGCCAGUUUUGGACUUCUUAACUUUGUUGCCAAAGGUAUAUGUAGGCCUUAAAUAUACACAUCAUAGCAGAAGUAUGGGAUGUUCUGUUAGUUAUUUGGUUUAUGUCAAGCUAUGUGUCGGCCUUCUCCUUCUGCUUCUUCCACAAGCAUAAAUUUUGCUUGCACAUUAUAAUUACCAAAUGCAUAAUUUUUCCUUGUAGGCUAAAUUCUGUCAGGUUACUUAGAUCUAUUUGAAGUUACAUUUCCAUUAUUUUUCCUGUUCCCACUAAAGCGGUUUCAAAGGAAAUAGAGCGAAUUGACCAACUUUUCUAUACAUAUGCUGAUAGCUCAUCCAGCAUGAAGUUACACUUGUCUGCGAUUAUUUUUUAUGUAUACUCAAGGUAGCCAUCCUUCCAUUUAGAUAUUCUACAUAUACUCUCCAAUUAGGGAUAUCAUGCUUGGUAAAAAUAAGAGUUGUUUUAUACGAAUCAUUGUAAAUAGUAAUUUAACAGUUUUCAAUGCUUAUGUAAUCCCAUUCAUGAAAAUGUAUACUGUAGUUGAUACAUAUAAUUUCGAUGCAGCUAAAUGUUAGCUUCAAACAACUCCCAUCAUGCGAGCAGGUGUAAGAGACUUCUUGAUUGGGUAGUUUAGGUUGAACUUUGGUGCAGAAGUAAGAAUGUUAAUUAUGUUACCUCCUGUUCUUAUGAGAAAAUAGUUUUCGUGAGAAUUAUCCCUGUUAUAAAUACAUCAUUUCGUUUACUGAUUUUAGGUCUGUUGUGGGUGUUAGAGGAGAUAGAUCGGGCAGAACUACAACCUGAGGUUGUGUAGGUUUAGGGAUACCUCUUGCCAAGGUUACAUUUUAGGUUUUGACGAAACACAAAAAUAUAUACUCCCUCCGUCCCAUAAUAUAAGAUUUUUAGCACUACACUAGUGUCAAAAAUGUUCUUAUAUUAUGGGACAGAGGGAGUAAUAUUUAAAUAAAGCCCAGUUCAUCUGUGAAAUAAUUAUGAAUAUCAAUCCAAUAAAGGUAUGAUGUACAGUGGCAAUAACAUUUUAUAAUUCUUUGGUAAGAUCACUGAAAACUAUUAAAUUAUGUUCUCUAAUUUAUUAUAGUUAGCUUUGUUUCAGAUUGGGUGUUAAUAGAAACCAUAUCCAUGUAUUGAUGGAUUCACAUUUCAAGGGAAACUACUGAAAACGAAAGGCGACAUCUUUGAUAUUUUUUUUACUCAUUAUUCACAAUGUGAACUUUGGGACUGUCUAAACGAAACUAUGACAUGAUAUGUUUCCUUUAUUCUUGAUUUGUUCAAUUUCAUACACCUGCUCUGCCCUAGGUUCAAACGACAAAAUCUAUAGCCUCACUCUGAAGGUCCAAGGAGGUGGAAGCACCAACCAUGCCCUCAACAGAGCUGCUCCAUUGGAUUUCAAUCCAAGGAUGACAUCCAAGAAAAGGACGUGUCCAAUGUGGUGCUACUUGCCUAGCGUGAUUUUUGUUGGUUGCUGAGAAGAGUUCGACGCUGCUCAACAUUUUUGCCUCAAAAAUAAAAAGUCUGACGCCUACCAAUUCUCCUACUGAGGCUCCUAUGAACGGCCGAUCGUCAAUUUGAGGAUAUUCGUGUUGAGGCUGCAAAGAAGAGGCACCGUGCCACCAAGAGUCUGUAUGGUCUCGCUGUUCUACGCUAUUGACGACCAUACCACCGUCUAUGCAUAGAAUCCAUGUGCCGUGUUUCCUGUUUCUCCAAGGCCUUUUAAUUCUGCCAUAUGAUGUGAGGAAAUAUGCCUCUGCUUUAUUAUCUAUAUCAUAGUUCAUGUAACCUCUAAAGAUCCAGUCCUUGAAUGUGUUGUAUUCGCACAACUGUCUUAUUGUUUCAGUUAGAAACUUCUCUGAAUGUGUUGCUUUUGCACAACUGUCUUAUUAUUUGAGUUAGAACUUGCAUGUAUCAUACUUCAUCUC
rnacentral:rRNA from 1 species